CGCGGCCUAUCAGCUUGUUGGUGGGGUAACGGCCUACCAAGGCUAUGACGGGUAGCUGACGUGAGAGCGUGAGCAGCCACACUGGGACUGAGACACGGCCCAGACUCCUACGGGAGGCAGCAGUGGGGAAUAUUGCGCAAUGGGCGAAAGCCUGACGCAGCGACGCCGCGUGGGGGAGGAAGGCCUUAGGGUUGUAAACCCCUGUCAGGUGGGACGAAACCCGGGUCGAUAAAUAAUCGGCUCGACUGACGGUACCACCAGAGGAAGCUCCGGCCAACUCCGUGCCAGCAGCCGCGGUAAUACGGGGGGAGCGAGCGUUGUUCGGAAUCACUGGGCGUAAAGGGCGCGUAGGCGGCCGAGUAAGUCGUGUGUGAAAGACCGGGGCUCAACUCCGUGUACUGCAUGCGAUACUGCCCGGCUAGAGAAAGGUAGAGGCGAGUGGAAUUCCCGGUGUAGCGGUGGAAUGCGUAGAUAUCGGGAAGAACACCUGUGGCGAAGGCGGCUCGCUGGGCCUUUUCUGACGCUGAAGUGCGAAAGCGUGGGGAGCGAACAGGAUUAGAUACCCUGGUAGUCCACGCCGUAAACGAUGGGCACUAGGCGUUGGGAGGAUUGACCCUCUCAGUGCCGUAGCUAACGCGUUAAGUGCCCCGCCUGGGGAGUACGG
rnacentral:rRNA from 1 species